rnacentral:sRNA from 1 species
GUGCGGCGCUGGGCGGAAGCUACCAUGGCGGCCGAGCGAAAGACAAAGUUGUCCAAGAAUCUGCUGCGCAUGAAGUUUAUGCAAAGGGGACUGGACUCAGAAACCAAGAAACAACUAGAAGAAGAAGAAAAGAAAAUCAUUAGUGAAGAGCACUGGUACUUGGAUUUGCCAGAGCUUAAAGAGAAAGAGAGUUUCAUAAUAGAAGAGCAGAGUUUCUUACUAUGUGAAGAUCUUCUCUAUGGAAGAAUGUCAUUCAGAGGAUUUAAUCCUGAGGUUGAGGUAUUAAAUAUAAUUGCUUCAAAUUAAAAAUUUUUCCAAUUGAAUUUUUUUCUGCUAAUAAUUGGGCUUAGGUGUUUCUCCACCAGGUACCGUUUCUACUCAUUAUAUAGAAAAUAACAAAUCUUGAAAUAUCGCCAUAGCUAUUUAAAGAAAUUGGAGGCAUUGCAGUCUAGUUUUAUGGUAGAGGUGAGUAGAUAAUUUCGUAUAGCAGUAUACAGCCCUUGACAGAGCCACUGUAAAUAUUAAAAUUUCAAGUUGUGUCUUUUACAGGAACGUCAAGAUUUUAUUCAUAUCAUGCUAUUAUGAAAAGUUAUUUUCUGGCACCUAUACAUGUAUUUUU